CGCCCCUCUUCCUCUCCACAACGGAGCUUUCCCUUUUUCUCUCUCUACUCCCAUGUCCGGCCAUCACUACCGUCGGCCGAUCUCCCUCACCGAAGCUUCGCAAGCCAAACCCUUGCGCCACCAACUCCGCCUCGCCCAGGUGAUUCCAUUUUUCCCCUUCCCCUCUCCCUCCACCUUGGGAUAAGCCGCCACCACCACCUUCUCUUAUCGCCGGAACUGAGCUCUUGUUGCCGCCGUUCCGGCCAUCCCUCUCUCUCCCUCCGCCUUCCACCACCCUCUCCGGGUGCGCGUUGCUCGGGAACACCAUCUCCUACCGGCGUUCCCACCUCCCGACCACCGGAGAGCCGGCGCCCCGCUCGCCCUCUUCUCUCCCUUCUCUCGGAUCAAAGAAGCAGAGAAGAAGAAGAAGUAGAAGAGAUAUGACAAGCGAGCCCCACUACCGUACAACAAGUUUUAUCAGCAUCCAAGGAGCUGAUGUGGACCCAGAUGGCUAUGCUAAAGCCGCGGGAAAUCUUAAGGCGCAAGGCAAGACAUAGCUAAAAUUUUGAUCAUAUAGAAAACUUAAUAUAAUCUUCAUUUUAUGCAUGAUACCUUACCCUUUUAACGUCUCAUGGGUAGAUGUUAAAUGCAUCCAAGUAUUAUUGCAUGAGGUUAUAAAAAGAAGCAUUGGUUAUGAUUUUAUGUGAUUUACUAUUCCAAACAACUUUACAAACUUAGGAAUCCGGUUAAAAUGGGCAUUUAUGAAUUGAGAUUAUGAAUGUUGAAAAUUAUGAAUGUUGAUGAAUGAUGAAGUUUGUGAUUUUGGUGUGGGGAGUUUGGAAAGUUUUGGGUGGUUUAACCAGAUUAUAAUUACCCCCUUAUACCAUGGAAAUGACAUAGUUGCGUCCAUCCACACAAUCAAGUAAUUGAACUUAGCCUAGUACAUUGUCCCACUAUAUGAAAGACUGUUGGGUGGCUCUAUGAGCGGUAUUGGGGUGAACUUGCGUAAGAAGUUUGGGCGGCAGUGUUUCACAACAGUGGGAUUCAUGAAAGUGUGACGAUAUAGAUACCUUGCCUAGGCCUAGCAAGAGUUUGACCACUAUGAUGAACCAAGACCCCACUGUGCAGUAACUAGUAGUAAGUGGGACCUUCGAACGGCUCUGUUGUUCUCAGCCUAGCUAGUUGUGGGCAUCGUGUGGGUAAAGCUGGACAGUCUCUGCAGAGGUGAAUUAAAUCAUUCGAAUGUGCCGUACUCCUGAUUCUGGAGUUGUGUCAAUAGGGUGAUUCCUACUCCUGAAGUAUAAGUAGUUUUAAAAUUAAAAUGUUGAGGAUAAAGAUGAUUUAUGGUUUUUAUUAUUCCUUUACUUUAUUAUUGUUUAUUUAUUCAUAUCUAUUCACCUUUAAUUAUUUAUAAUAUGUCUUGCUAAAUACAAAAGUACUCUCCCUUGCAUAAUUUGACAUAUAGAGGAAACGUGCUAACAAGGAGAUCAGAAGGAAGCGAGAUCUACGACAACGACGAGUUUUUCUAGGCUAGUCUACACUCGAGCUUUUGCCUGUGGAGUUCUUUGAAAUUCUUUGGAAUUUAUUAAUUGUAGUUCUAGUAGUUGAAGAAGUUUAGGAGUUUAGUACUUUGGAUUUUCUUGUAUUUCAAAUAAGGAUAUUUUAGUUUGGAUCUUUUCACCUUUUAACAGUAGUAUAAUCAGCUUGUAUGAAUAAACCUGUAUAAGUUGUUCUGUAUAUCAAUCUGUGCGUGAUCGAAAUCCUGGACGAUCGCGAGUGGAUUUUUGGGGCACCAAGCCUAAAUUGGGUGUCCCCACAAUAGAUUAAAAAACUAAUUACACAGAUUGCGUGUAAA